UAACAAUGAUUCCCUCAGUAACGGCGAGUGAAGAGGGAUAAGCUCAAAUUUUAAAUCUGUUGGGUUUUAACAGAGUUGUAUUUUGAAGAACGUUUCUGCAUCAGGUAGCCUAAAUCCUUUGGGAUAAGGUAUCAUGGAGGGUGAGAAUCCCGUUCAGUUAAUCUUGAGCUCUACGAUACGUUUCCAAGAGUCGAGUUGUUUGGGAUUGCAGCUCAAAUGGGAGGUAAAUUUCUCCUAAGGCUAAUAUUGGCGAGAGACCGAUAGCGAACAAGUACCGUGAGGGAAAGAUGAAAGAACUUUGAAAGAGAGUUAAACAGUACGUGAAAUUGUUGAAAGGGAAACGAUUGAAG
rnacentral:rRNA from 1 species